GAGCUUCUGAAUGGGAUUCGGGCUUCCAAUAGUACUGAAGUGCCAGGCACUGAAUCUGAAUGGAAGAAAGGCAUUUUGUUGCGCAUGCUGACCGGAAGCAAAGACAAGAGGAGAGUUGGGAGGAGGUGCGGGAGCCAGUAUUGAGGUCAAUACUUAGGAAAAUGGGAAAACAUAGUUCAUCAUGUGCAAUUUGUGUCUCAUGUGCGUCGUCAGCUGUUAUCAGAUGCUUCAAAGAGUUGGGCUUCUCUACGAAAGCGUCUUGAAAAGGAGAGAAAGCAACUUCAGCAUUGUGUUACACUGUACAAUUCAAAAGCAGACUGUCAUGUUUCUGUGGACGAAGUCACGCAAGAGGACUAUUUGUUGCCUUGGCAUAAUCCUGCAGGGAACAAGGGAGAAACAUUUGCUUUGAAGAAGAAAAUAGUUGAUAUACAUGAACACAUGACCAGGUACAUCGAGGAAUUGCCUGUGCUCAUUCAAGAGAUGGUAUCAACUGCUCUUUUCUUCAAGAAAAAAAUCAACACCUUGGAAGACGGAAUCAACACCGUGAACAAUGAGGCCAUCAAAAACCAAGAAAACCAUGGAUUGGUGAAGUUGCUGCUGGAAUCAAAGGAAUUCUACACAGACCUUCUCCUAGAAGCAACAGAUGUAUUUGAAUGUAUAGACACUGACAUAGAGAUCGUGGUGGAUUUUGAGGAAGGGGAGGUGCAACCUGGUGGUGAAGAAUCAAAUUCGGAGGAGGAUGCGUCUAGCUCUGAGGAGGAGGAUUGUGAUGACAUUGGCAUUGAGUACGUGUAAUUAACCCUUUGAAGCCGGAUUUAUUUCAGAAAUCCCGAUCUUUUUCGACUUGAUUUGAUCUAAGUUUGCCUAAAAGGGUAUAGUGUCCCCAAAUGUCACUCGAAGCUAACAAAGUAUGCCACGAGAUGCUAACGUUUUCGGAACUCUGUGGCAUCUCUUAAGGCCCUUGCAGAGGUUCUCAAGAAGCAUGUUUGUGAAUAAGGUGACUUUUUGUAGUGAAAGUUCGAACUUCCAAUGCAGUUUAUUGGGAAACUACGCCACAAAUCAGGUGUUGUGACGACCCUAAAAUGACGUCGUAUGGCAAAAAGUGUCAACUGAGGCAAAACUGUUCAGUGAGAGUUUUUUUGCUCGUCUGGCGCUCAGGAAUCUGCCAACUGUUCGACGAUACAGCGAUGUUCCGGCCCUCGGGACGAACUUAAUCAUGAGGGGGGUACCUGCUGCUGGUUAAUUUUUUUAUCUGACCGCAGGGGGCUAGGCUGAUGUCCUGCAACUCCCAAAACGACUUAGAAUUAUUGCCGGACCACUAGGGACCUUGGAAAAUGCCUUUUGUGUAAUCUGAUAUAUUGUGAAUCCACCAAUUAUGUAUAAGCAGAUUUGUAUUACUGGCUGAAUGUGAAUUUCAGCAGCAAUUAAAUGAUUCUU